rnacentral:rRNA from 1 species
UCAGCAGCCGCGGUAAUACGUAGGGGGCGAGCGUUGCCCGGAAUCACUGGGCGUAAAGGGAGCGUAGGCGGCCUGCCAAGUCUACUGUGAAAAGCCAGAGCUCAACUCUGGUCUUGCGGUAGAAACUGGCAGGCUUGAGGCUGGUAGAGGAAGACGGAACAGCUAGUGUAGGGGUAAAAUCCUUAGAUAUUAGCUGGAACGCCGGUGACGAAGGUGGUUUUCUGGGCCAGACCUGAACGAUGAGGCUCGAAAGCCAGGGGAGCGAACGGGAUUAGAUACCCCGGUAGUCCUGGCCCUAAACGAUGCUCACUAGGUGUGGGGUGCGUAHGGCAUUCCGUGCUAAAGUUVVCGCGAUAAGUGAGCCGCCUGGGGAGUAC